UAGGGAAUCUUCGGCAAUGGGGGGAACCCUGACCGAGCAACGCCGCGUGAGUGAAGAAGGUUUUCGGAUCGUAAAGCUCUGUUGUUAAGGAAGAACGAGUGUGAGAAUGGAAAGUUCAUACUGUGACGGUACUUAACCAGAAAGGGACGGCUAACUACGUGCCAGCAGCCGCGGUAAUACGUAGGUCCCGAGCGUUGUCCGGAUUUAUUGGGCGUAAAGCGAGCGCAGGCGGUUAGAUAAGUCUGAAGUUAAAGGCAGUGGCUCAACCAUUGUAGGCUUUGGAAACUGUUUAACUGGAGUGCAGAAGGGGAGAGUGGAAUUCCAUGUGUAGCGGUGAAAUGCGUAGAUAUAUGGAGGAACACCGGUGGCGAAAGCGGCUCUCUGGUCUGUAACUGACGCGGAGGCUCGAAAGCGUGGGGAGCGAACAGG
rnacentral:rRNA from 1 species